rnacentral:rRNA from 1 species
UACGAAGGGGGCUAGCGUUGUUCGGAAUUACUGGGCGUAAAGCGCACGUAGGCGGAUACUUAAGUCAGGGGUGAAAUCCCGGGGCUCAACCCCGGAACUGCCUUUGAUACUGGGUAUCUCGAGUCCGGAAGAGGUGAGUGGAAUUCCGAGUGUAGAGGUGAAAUUCGUAGAUAUUCGGAAGAACACCAGUGGCGAAGGCGACUCACUGGCCCGUUACUGACGCUGAGGCGCGAAAGCGUGGGGAGCAAACAGG